AUGCGGGUGGGAAGCAGCCUGUGCCCCAGGCCCUGUGGAGCCGGAGUGGAGUGGAGGCGAGGACUCGGGAGAGGAGGGAAGAACCGGCUGUCCUGGAAGUGGGGGUGGGGCUGGCAUCGUGUGAUGGGACCUUCUCGUCACCGCUGGGCGAAUGCUGGCGCUGCAUUCGGAGUCGAGAACGAGCGAGGGGGGAGGAGCAGAGUGGGGCUGCUCCCACACCCAGCGCCACCAUCAAGCCUGCCGGGCUCCGCCAUGCCAUCUGCAGCGUGGAGCCUGGGCCCCGAGCCUCCCGCAGGGCCUGGCCGGGUGUGCGUGGUCCUGCCACUCCCCCGAUGGCUUCCCCGUGCACGGGGCAGGGUGCCCCACCCCUGCCAAGAGCUACCCCAGACGCCGACCUGCUGUGCCCUUGUGGCAGGUUCUUUCCCCUCGAGGUCGUGGGGGGCCCACACCCGUCCCGGCAGCUCUGCCUGGCGCUCCUGGGGUUCUGUGUUCCGUGUUCGUCUUCCGGAGGGACCGUCCGUGACGCUGAGGGGCUCUGGCUGUGGUUUCUCCAUAAGAGGAUACCGAGUCCUUGUUCUGCUCUUUAAAUGUGAAAUUGUGGGAGCAGGAGGCCCAGCUGAGAGGAAGCUGAGAGCAGAGACCCUCGGCCCUGGGCUGUGUGGAAUGGGCCGGGGGGAGGGGCAGCGAAAAACGCAUCGCUCGUUCCUUCCUGUGGCGGUGGGGUCUUUCGGGAGCCCAGGGGGGUGCGGGCAGCGCCUCAGGUCCUUGUGUUGUGGUCCCACUGCUUGUCCCAGUGGGCUGUGUCUGGGGCGGGGGGCGGGCAUAAUCCCCCUGCACGUCUGGGUGCGGGCUCACAGGGGGCGCCUCCUCCCCCCAGAGUGCCCUGGCACUGCACACCCGUGUCCUGUCAUGAGCCCUGGCAGGACCAGUGCCUCAGCGAGAUCCCAGGGUGGGGACCAGGUCUUACCUGUGUCAGGCUGGGUGCUGCUGGCUGUCCGCACUUCAGAGCCGCCUCUCUCUCCGGCCCUGGGUCUGGGUCCUGCCGGGCUGGAGUCGCACCUGUAA
rnacentral:lncRNA from 1 species